AUGCUUGGGAAGGGCAGAUGGGGAUAGCUCAGGAGAAGGAAAUAGGGAGGAUCAAUUUUACUGUGUUGGGAAAGAAACUAACUCUGCUCUGGGCAAAGGAAUCUGCAUUUAGGGCUCCUAUUAAUAUCAGAAAUAAGGCCAUCAAUCUCCAUGAACAUCCGCAGAGCAGCAGUGAUCAUGGCAUCAACAUCAAGGGAAAAGUCAUCAAAAUGUAUGUCAUCAAUGGCAAGCUCUGAGACCAAAGGGAUGUUGGCUGCCUAGAAAAAAAGGAGACAUAAGUCAAGGCAAGUUCCACAGACAUCCCAAGCUCAGUGUCUUGCUCUCAUCCAGGGCUUAUCUGAAGUGUCACAUAAAUCAAGCCUGACCUGCACUUACACCCUGAUACAGCUAAACUCUAAGCAGUAAAUGUCUUUUGUUUUUGAACUGCAAA